rnacentral:rRNA from 1 species
AACGAACGCUGGCGGCAUGCCUAACACAUGCAAGUCGAACGAGACCUUCGGGUCUAGUGUCGCACGGGUGCGUAACGUGUGGGAACCUGCCCUUAGGUUCGGAACAACUCCCCGAAAGGGGUGCUAAUACCGGUUAAUAUCUUCGGACCAAAGAUUUAUCGACUUUGGAUGGGCCCGCGUUGGAUUAGCUAGUUGGUAGGGUAAAAGCCUACCAAGGGGACGAUCCAUAGCUGGUCUGAGAGGAUGAUCAGCGACACUGGGACUGAGACACGGCCCAGACUGCUACGGGAGGCAGCAGUGGGGAAUAUUGGACAAUGGGCGAAAGCCUGAGCCAGCAAUGCCGCGUGAGUGAUGAAGGCCUUAGGGUUGUAAAGCUCUUUUAACCGGGAUGAUAAUGACAGUACCGGGAGAAUAAGCUCCGGCUAACUCCGUG